rnacentral:rRNA from 1 species
UACAGAGGUCUCAAGCGUUGUUCGGAUUCAUUGGGCGUAAAGGGCGCGUAGGCGGCGGGGUAAGUCGGGUGUGAAAUCUCAGAGCUCAACUCUGAAAUGGCACUUGAUACUGCUCUGCUAGAGGAGUGGAGAGGAGAUUGGAAUUCACGGUGUAGCAGUGAAAUGCGUAGAUAUCGUGAGGAAGACCGGUGGCGAAGGCGGAUCUCUGGACAGUUCCUGACGCUGAGGCGCGAAGGCCAGGGGAGCAAACGGGG